CCCUUAGAGUUUGAUCCUGGCUCAGGAUGAACGCUAGCUACAGGCUUAACACAUGCAAGUCGAGGGGCAGCAUUUCAGUUUGCUUGCAAACUGGAGAUGGCGACCGGCGCACGGGUGAGUAACACGUAUCCAACCUGCCGAUAACUCGGGGAUAGCCUUUCGAAAGAAAGAUUAAUACCCGAUGGUAUAAUCAGACCGCAUGGUCUUGUUAUUAAAGAAUUUCGGUUAUCGAUGGGGAUGCGUUCCAUUAGGCAGUUGGUGAGGUAACGGCUCACCAAACCUUCGAUGGAUAGGGGUUCUGAGAGGAAGGUCCCCCACAUUGGAACUGAGACACGGUCCAAACUCCUACGGGAGGCAGCAGUGAGGAAUAUUGGUCAAUGGGCGCAGGCCUGAACCAGCCAAGUAGCGUGAAGGAUGACUGCCCUAUGGGUUGUAAACUUCUUUUAUAUGGGAAUAAAGUUUUCCACGUG
rnacentral:rRNA from 1 species